AAAAAAAUUGUUUGAUAAUGAGUUCAAUUUAAAUUUAAAAAAAAAAUAAUAUUAGUUCUCGCACAAUUAAUAUCAGUUCUCUUAUCUAUUAAAAUUUAGAAUAUUUUCCAACAAUUAUGUCACCUCCAUGAAUAUAAAGGGGAAAGGUGGAAAUAUGCUUUAAGAGCACUAAUUUAUACGGUGUAGUGAAAGUUCAUGUAAUUUUUUCAAAAUCGAAUAUGCGGAAAGGAGCUGUUUGGAAUGAAGAUUUACAAAAAGAAGUAAUUCCAUCUAAUUGGAUUAGUGUUAAAACUGUCGGCUUCCAGGUACCAAAACAUUGACUGCACUAAAAUGCAGAGAAGAAUUGGCUAAAGUUUAUACAAAUAAAAACUAAAUUCUCUUAAGAGUAUUUUCAAAAAGUUAUAUGGCCUCCAUGGAUAUGAAGGGCA